AGGGAUCAUUACCGAGUUUACAACUCCCAAACCCAAUGUGAACCAUACCAAACUGUUGCCUCGGCGGGGUCACGCCCCGGGUGCGUCGCAGCCCCGGAACCAGGCGCCCGCCGGAGGGACCAACCAAACUCUUUUCUGUAGUCCCCUCGCGGACGUUAUUUCUUACAGCUCUGAGCAAAAAUUCAAAAUGAAUCAAAACUUUCAACAACGGAUCUCUUGGUUCUGGCAUCGAUGAAGAACGCAGCGAAAUGCGAUAAGUAAUGUGAGUUGCAGAAUUCAGUGAAUCAUCGAAUCUUUGAACGCACAUUGCGCCCGCCAGUAUUCUGGCGGGCAUGCCUGUCCGAGCGUCAUUUCAACCCUCGAACCCCUCCGGGGGGUCGGCGUUGGGGAUCGGGAACCCCUAAGACGGGAUCCCGGCCCCGAAAUACAGUGGCGGUCUCGCCGCAGCCUCUCCUGCGCAGUAGUUUGCACAACUCGCACCGGGAGCGCGGCGCGUCCACGUCCGUAAAACACCCAACUUCUGAAAUGUUGACCUCGGAUCAGGUAGGAAUACCCGCUGAACUUAA
rnacentral:rRNA from 1 species